rnacentral:rRNA from 1 species
UGCGUAGGCGGAUAGAUUAGUCAGAGGUGAAAUCCUGCAGCUUAACUGUAGAAUUGUCUUUGAUACUGUUUAUCUUGAAUUAGGUUGAGGUCAGCGGAAUGUGGCAUGUAGCGGUGAAAUGCAUAGAUAUGCCAUAGAACACCAAUUGCGAAGGCAGCUGGCUAGGCUUUAAUUGACGCUGAGGCACGAAAGCGUGGGGAGCGAACAGGAUUAGAUACCCUGGUAGUCC